UGGGGAAUAUUGGGCAAUGGAGGAAACUCUGACCCAGCAACGCCGCGUGGAGGAAGAAGGUUUUCGGAUCGUAAACUCCUGUCCUUGGAGACGAGUAGAAGACGGUAUCCAAGGAGGAAGCCCCGGCUAACUACGUGCCAGCAGCCGCGGUAAUACGUAGGGGGCAAGCGUUGUCCGGAAUAAUUGGGCGUAAAGGGCGCGUAGGCGGCUCGGUAAGUCUGGAGUGAAAGUCCUGCUUUUAAGGUGGGAAUUGCUUUGGAUACUGUCGGGCUUGAGUGCAGGAGAGGUUAGUGGAAUUCCCAGUGUAGCGGUGAAAUGCGUAGAGAUUGGGAGGAACACCAGUGGCGAAGGCGACUAACUGGACUGUAACUGACGCUGAGGCGCGAAAGUGUGGGGAGCAAACAGGAUUAGAUACCCUGGUAGUCCACACUGUAAACGAUGAAUGCUAGGUGUAGGGGGUAUCGACCCCUUCUGUGCCGCAGUCAACACAAUAAGCAUUCCGCCUGGGGAGUACGGCCGCAAGGUUGAAACUCAAAGGAAUUGACGGGGGCCCGCACAAGCAGCGGAGCAUGUGGUUUAAUUCGACGCAACGCGAAGAACCUUACCAGGUCUUGACAUCCACUUAAACUUACAGAGAUGUAAGGUGUGCUUGCACAAAGUGAGACAGGUGGUGCAUGGUUGUCGUCAGCUCGUGUCGUGAGAUGUUGGGUUAAGUCCCGCAACGAGCGCAACCCUUAUCUUCAGUUACUAACGCGUAAAGGUGAGGACUCUGAAGAGACUGCCGGGGACAACUCGGAGGAAGGUGGGGACGACGUCAAAUCAUCAUGCCCCUUAUGACCUGGGCUACACACGUGCUACAAUGGCCACGACAGAGAGAAGCGAAAUCGUAAGGUAGAGCGGAACUCAAAAAAGUGGUCCCAGUUCGGAUUGUGGGCUGCAACCCGCCCACAUGAAGUCGGAGUUGCUAGUAAUCGCGGAUCAGCAUGCCGCGGUGAAUACGUUCCC
rnacentral:rRNA from 1 species